rnacentral:tRNA from 1 species
GCCCGGGUGGCGAAAUUGGUAGACGCACUACUUUGAGGUGGUAGCGUCCGAAAGGAUGUGCUGGUUCGAAUCCAGUCUCGGGCA